AGAAAACAUAGUUAGUUAACAAGCAAGAUAGCGCCCCUGACAUUGACAAACUGACGUGUUGUUAGAUUCGCCGGUCAUGGCUGGUCAUUGCUAGCCAACAUCAGAAAGCAACUUUGGAAACGAUUGGGCGUUCAUAUCUCUGCCCAAAACGGUGUACACGUUCGAGUUGGAUUUUGUCGACAGCUUCCCAUGGGAUCUGAAUCGCUGUAAAGAGGAACUCCCUCAGGAACUUCUCCUUCUUUCUAUUGGAUACCCAUGCCAUCUUUUAGAAGAAAAAGAGCCACGCUGGUUUACAGAGACCUGACUAGAGGCUUGAUAGUGCGUGCACCCCUGCCAUCAACUUAAAUCGGGAGUCCUGGGAGGACAGAGCUGGUUCCCUUUGCAGCAGAACUUGUGCCCAGCUACAGUGAUGCACCUCCUCCACCAGCAUAAAAAAAAGGAAGGCAGCAGGUGUUGUGGCCUGGAAGGGGUUGAGGGAGCUACUCCACAUGCCUUCAGUGGAGCUGGAAUGUCCUCCACCCAAUGCCAUCUGCAGUUUGUGUAGAGUUUUGGAGGAGGCUGAUCUAUGGUGCUGUAAGGAUUGUGGCGCAGAUAAAUAUUUCUGUUCCACCUGUGCUGUGAGAACGCACAGCACUCCCAACAAUGUCCACCAGUUGGAGUUAUGGAAGGACAUUUAUUUUAUGUUAUAUCAACAAACCUGUCAACUUCUGGCUUAAAACAAUUGCUUCCCAGUCAAAAAUGUUGAUCAUGUAUAGUACAUACAGUUCAGUUUCUAUAAAAGUUACAGUUCCCUGCAGCGGUAAGGUAAAUGUGACAAAAUCUGGAUUUGAUUUGGAGUUUUCUGACAACGUGUGCAAGGAAAUAUCCCCUUGCUAGUGUAGUUUCAAAUCUGCAGCUACUGUAGUCUGUCUGUCUUAGUCAGGGCAGUUCAUCCCAUGUGUCCCGUUGGGCCUACGAUGGGAGUGGCCGAGAUGACCAUGACUGUCACAUCCUGUACAACCGUCUUCUGACUGUUGUUGACGUUAGAGGUAGGUCUAGGUAUAUAUUAGGUAUAUAAAAAUUGGAAACUAAGACUUCUGGCUCCUUUACCGUCUUGCAAACUGUAUCAGAGCAUUAAGUGUAGCAGCACCAUGCUUAGAGACAAAGCCAUAAGACUGUUAAUGAAAACUGACUCUCUGCUGCUAUGGCACCGACUGUACUGUACUUAAUAUACUGUAGUAAUCGACUUAUUUCAUUGUAUUGUACACAAUGCGCUGUAUUCCUGUGCAAAUGACAACUUUGAUUUUAUUUGAUUUAGUUUACCAUAACCCUGUUCACUCUUCACUCUGUUAUGAUGAACAUAUGUUGAUGAAACUACAUUCUUAAGAGACAUGCAUCUCACCAACAUCAGAUGUAAUGUUUAGCAAUACAAUCUAAGAAACGGACUGUCCUCAUGUCAGCAAGAGCGCAUAAUGUCUGGCUGCAGUUUUGCAGCUGUCACCCUGAAUUGCCACAGACUCUGGCAUGUGGCACUUGACCACACGACUGAACAGUAGUCCAGGUGUGACAAAACUAGGGCCUGUAGGACCUGCCUAGUUGAUAGUUCUGUUAAGAAGGUAGAGCCACCUCCCAAGUGGCACGGUGGUCUAAGGCACUGCAUCGCAGUGCUAGCUGUGCAACUAGAUUCGAUUCAA